UGUUGUAUAGUGUAGUGGUGAUCACCCUGGUUUUUGAUACCAGUAACCCCGGUUCGAAUCCGGGUACGACCU
rfam:Rhizoclosmatium globosum strain JEL800 BCR33scaffold_145, whole genome shotgun sequence.